rnacentral:rRNA from 1 species
UACGGCGGUCACAGCGAGGGGGAAACGCCCGGGUCCCAUUCCGAACCCGGAAGCUAAGCCCCUCAGCGSCGAUGGUACUGCACGGGAGACUGUGUGGGAGAGUAGGACACCGCCGAAC